rnacentral:rRNA from 1 species
GGGGGAAUAUUGCACAAUGGGGGAAACCCUGAUGCAGCGACGCCGCUUGAGCGAAGAAGGUUUUCGAAUCGUAAAGCUCUUUCCUAUGGGAAGAUAAUGACGUUACCAUAGGAGGAAGCCCCGGCUAACUACGUGCCAGCAGCCGCGGUAAUACGUAGGGGGCAAGCGUUGUCCGGAAUCACUGGGCGUAAAGGGUUCGCAGGCGGAAAUGCAAGUCAGUUGUGAAAGGCAGAGGCUCAACCUCUGUAAGCAAUUGAAACUGUAUUUCUUGAGAUGUGGAGAGGCAAGUGGAAUUCCUAGUGUAGCGGUGAAAUGCGUAGAUAUUAGGAAGAAUACCGGUGGCGAAGGCGACUUGCUGGACACAAACUGACGCUGAGGAACGAAAGCGUGGGUAGCAAACAGG